rnacentral:lncRNA from 1 species
UGAGAUGCUAUCAUACAGUUUUAUUAAUCGUUCCAGAACGAAAUAUAUAUAUGAUUUUGAAUUCAUGCAAAUUUUAAAAGGGAAUACUUAUCAAGUUCUUCAAAAAUUUUACAAAUCGUUAAUAUAUUAUAUUACAUAUAAUUACAAAAUUAUAUUUCAUGUUGAAUUAAAAUGGACUAAACAUUAAGUUGCUUCUAUAUAAAGGUGGAUUGUAGCGUAAAAUAAUGAAACUCUUUGUUUUUUUAUAUGGAAAACCUCUUGAUCAUGUACAUCUUGUUAUUUCCGGUCUUCCAAGCAUACAACUGCUACAACUUUUUCCAUAAAGAACGAGUAUCCGUCUCAAUCUCAGUAUGAUGCAAUCAUCUACCCACUGCUUUAUCAAUCCACACACUUGGCGAUGAAGCAACUUCCACUCUUCAUCCGUCUUCUUUUCAGGUCUUUUUCUCCUAGAAGACCGAAACAUGAAAUUCUUUAACAAAGAGCAGAUCCUCCAUCUUGCCCUUCCAUAGA